rnacentral:piRNA from 1 species
UACUUUCAAGUCCCCGUUCCUCCGGAAGA